AACGUAGGAGACAAACGUUAUCCGGAGUUACUGGGCGUAAAGGGCGUGUAGGCGGUUUGUUAAGUCUGGCGUGAAAGCUCUCGGCUAAACCGGGAGAGGUCGUUGGAUACUAGCAAACUAGAGGACGGUAGAGGCGUGUGGAAUUCCGGGUGUAGUGGUGAAAUGCGUAGAGAUCCGGAGGAACACCAGUGGCGAAGGCGACACGCUGGGCCGUACCUGACGCUAAAGCGCGACAGCAUGGGGAGCAAACGGG
rnacentral:rRNA from 1 species